rnacentral:rRNA from 1 species
AGUGAACGCUGGCGGUAUGCCUAACACAUGCAAGUCGAACGGCAGCACAGUAAGAGCUUGCUCUUACGGGUGGCGAGUGGCGGACGUGUGAGGAAUACAUCGUAAUCUACUUUUUCGUGGGGGAUAACGUAGGGAAACUUACUCUAAUACCGCAUACGACCUACGGGUGAAAGCAGGGGAUCUUCUGACCUUGCGCGAUUGAAUGAGCCGAUGUCGGAUUAGCUAGUUGGCGGGGUAAAGGCCCACCAAGGCGACGAUCCGUAGCUGGUCUGAGAGGAUGAUCAGCCACACUGGAACUGAGCCACGGUCCAGACUCCUACGGGAGGCAGCAGUGGGGAAUAUUGGACAAUGGGCGCAAGCCUGAUACAGCCAUACCGCGUGGGUGAAGAAGGCCUUCGGGUUGUAAAGACCUUUUGUUGGGAAAGAAAAGCAGCAGGUUAAUACCACGCUGUUCUGACGGUAACCAAAGAAUAAGCACCGGCUAACUUCGUG